rnacentral:rRNA from 1 species
GAUGAACGCUGGCGGCGUGCUUAACACAUGCAAGUCGAACGAUGAAGCCCAGCUUGCUGGGUGGAUUAGUGGCGAACGGGUGAGUAACACGUGAGUAACCUGCCCUUAACUCUGGGAUAAGCCUGGGAAACUGGGUCUAAUACCGGAUAGGAGCGCCUACCGCAUGGUGGGUGUUGGAAAGAUUUAUCGGUUUUGGGUGGACUCGCGGCCUAUCAGCUUGUUGGUGAGGUAAUGGCUCACCAAGGCGACGACGGGUAGCCGGCCUGAGAGGGUGACCGGCCACACUGGGACUGAGACACGGCCCAGACUCCUACGGGAGGCAGCAGUGGGGAAUAUUGCACAAUGGGCGAAAGCCUGAUGCAGCGACGCCGCGUGAGGGAUGACGGCCUUCGGGUUGUAAACCUCUUUCAGUAGGGAAGAAGCGAAAGUGACGGUACCUGCAGAAGAAGCACCGGCUAACUACGUG